AAUUUUUGUAUUUUUAGUAGAAACAGGGUUUCAACAUGUUGGCCACGCUGGUCUCGAACUUCUGACCUCAAGUGAUCCACCCGCCUCGGCCUCCCAAAGUGCUGGGAUUACAGGCGUGAGCCGUGAGCCACCAUACAUGGCCCGUGUAAUCUUAAGUAAAUUAAUUUCCUAGGCAUGAGUUUCCUCAAGAAUUGAACUAGAUUCAUAUUUUUCAGAUCAAAUUAUAUCUAGGAAGGGAUGGAUGGCUGAGAAAGAAUUAAAGAGUAGUAACUACUGAAGCAUGGUGACCAAAGUCUGGGUUAGACAUUACCGAACAAGACGCUCCUGAAGGAUGGUUUCACUUUUCAUAUGGGUACAGACAGAAUGCAUUAUGCAUGUCUUAUGAUAUACGUUUACAUCUUUACACCAGGUAGAGGUCUUGACUAGUUGACAGUAGGCAAGAUAUAUGCUGUGCAAAUUUUAUUGCCUUCUAGAGAGCUACACAUUCCAUGUUAUUAAUAUAAAUUAAUGAUUAUAAAGAGAUGUCUGAAAAAAUAAAUAGCAAGUUAUAAUUUUAGACAACAUAUUUUCAAAGGGAUGGAAACUUUCAAAAAUUUCCUAACAACUUUCUUGACAUUUUCCUGGUAUUAUCAAAUAUAGAAAAAUAUUAUGUAAUUCACAGCAGUUGUAAUUUCUGAUUUUUACACUGUUUUAAUAAUGGAUUUAUGUCUUUUUAAAAGAAUAUGCAUUUGGAAAUAAAUACCCUGAUGUGAUAUUUAAACAUAUGUACAAUGACACAGCCUGUGGCCACGACAGAUUCUCUCCUUCUAAACACUCAUGAGAAAGUGCCAAAGAAUAACUGGCAUGACAGAAACUGAAAAAUGUAAAUGUAAAGCAAUAUUAUGAGAAACAAUAAUUAUUCUGAUUUCCCCAAGAAUUCACACUGCCAAUGUAACUUAAAUCCACAUAAUGAACUAUCUAGUAUCAAAGCUGAGCAACUAGUAGGUAUCCAUGAUUAUUUGACAGGUUUGACCAAUAUUCCCGCUAUAGACAGAAAGACCAGUUUUAGGAAGACAAGUUUUACGGAGAAGGGCAUUACUAUAUUACACAACACAUACUUGUAAACAUAACAGAAUUAUUUUAAAAAUAUAGUUCUCUUAAUCCAGGGAGUAAAAAUAAAUUCUGAAACAAUCUGCUUUGGAACUGCUCUCAAAAUCUAGUUCUAAACCACACAGUAACAUGUUACUACUUUAUAACUAUGGCUCAUUUUUGCCAAAAGACCAUUACCAACUAGGUUAUUAAUGAAUUCACUAAACUUAAUUCCAAAUAAACUUCACUAUUAAAAAAAUCUACAGGAAGAGGAGAAAGAUUUGUCAUCAACACAUUUUGCAGAUUAAAACCAAAGCACUGAAAACGCUGAGAGCAGUUUCAGUGGCUCCUCCAUGUACACAGCAGGUGUACCCGUGUGCACAGCAGGUGUACGCGUGUGCACAGCAGGUGUAUGCGUGUGCACAGCAGGUGUAUGCAUGUGCACAGAUGCUCAACCCACAACAGCGCUUCACCUCAUCAACCGUCAAGUGAAAAUAUCACAAAGUGGAAAACGGGCACUUCAUAAACAUGAGGUGCAAAAACACAAUAUCCAAAAAAUGCUGGCUAUUCAGUCCCCUGGCAUCAGAGUGCCUCGUGACCAUGUGGCUGACUGGAAGCCGUGGCUCAACGUCACUGCCUGGCCCCGAGAGAGAAUCGUACCACCGAUUACUGUCCUGGGAAAAGAUCAAAACUCAACGUAUGCUAUCUACUUAAUCUAUAUCACUUUUGUACCAUCAUAAAGUCAAAAAAGCAUAAAUCAAACUGUUGUAACAUUGGGGACCAUCUGUAUACGUAUGUAUACCCGGGAAUCUGCUUUAAAAACCCUUAUCAUGAGUUAAGACGAACUUAUGUUACGUACAUAAACUUCAGUUACUUGGGUUUUGUAUCACCUGGAUUUGGCUAAGUUGAAGAUUCAAAAUGAAGCUAAAUAACUAAGGUUAAGUAUUGUUUAAAAACUAACAAAUAAGAUUUAAAAAAUAUAAGGCCAGGCACAGUGGCUCACACCUGUAAUCCCAGCACUUUGGGAGGCCGAGGCAGGCGGAUCAUGAGGUCAGGAGAUCCGAAACCAUCCUGGCCAACAUAGUGGAACCCCGUCUCUACUAAAAAUACAAAAAUUAGCUGGGUGUGGUGGCACGUGCCUGUAAUCCCAGCUACUCAGGAGGCUGGGGCAGGAGAAUCGCUUGAACCAGGAAGUUGGAGGUUGCAGUGAGCUGUAAUCGCCGCCACUGCACUCCAGCCUGGUGACAGAGCGAGAAUCCGUCUCAAAAAAAAAUACACACACACACACAUACCAUGGCAAUGCCUUAGAAUUCAUUCUCUGGACAAGCACAAAAGUUAUGGGUCAAACUGUAUCCCACAAAUGAAAUAUGUUGAAACCCCUAACUCCCAGUACUUCAGAGUGUGACCUUAUUUGGAAACAGUGUCCACUGCAGAUGUAUUUAGUUAAGAUGAGUCCAUUCAAAGAGUAGGGUGGGCCUGGGUCCUAACCUAAUGAGUGGUAUCCUUGCUGGGGGGAAGAGACACAGAGAAACACAGGGAGAAGUCCAUGUGAAGAUGGAGGCAAAGACUGGAGUAAUCCAUCUACAAGCCAAACAGCAUCUGGGUCUAGCAGCCACCAGAAGCUAGAACAGGAGCCACAGCCCUCCGCGAACCUUGAUUUCACAUUUUUAAGCCUCUAGAACUGUGACACAACACAUGUGUUGUUUUAAGCCACCCAAUAUUGGUACUUAUAUUACAUUAGCCCUAGGAAACAAAUCAAGUCAUUUAUAACAAAAAACUAAAACAAGUUUUGUCUUUUCAUAAAAGUGAGGGACCUAUUGCACAGCACUACAACGGUCAUUAAGUUCUCUUGGCUGGAGCUCAAGACUAAUAAUAAGCUCUAUGGGAAAUUAUAGUGCAGCCAUAAGAAAGCUUUAGUAUAUAUUUAAAUUAUCCAAUAGUACACUCAUAUAAUAAAGAAGCCAAUCAUUUCUAGAUUAACAAAAAGUCAGCACUAGAGAAGUUUCACAAUGAGAAACCUUAAUUUUUCAGUAGUCAAAAACUGAAUUGUAUCAGACUGACUUAAGAACCUGAAAAAAAAAAAAAAGAAUUUUUUUCCAAACUGUUCAUGUAGGAAAAAUAUCAAAGAAAUACUAUUGUUUUGCAAAAGUAUUCAAAAAAUUCAUGCAAUACAGUUGUCCCUCAGUACCCAGGACACCUGCAGACACCAAAGUCCGAGGAUGCUCAAGUCCCUCGUAUAAAAUGCUGUAGUAUUUGCACAUAGCCUACACACAUCCUCCCAUAUGCUUUGAAUCAUCUCUAGAUUACUUGUAAUACCUAAUAAAUGUAAUGCUAUGUAGACAGUUGUAUACCAUUAUUUUAAAAUUUGUAUCAUUAUUGGCCAGGCGCGGUGGCUCACACCUGUAAUCCCAGCACUUUGGGAGCCCAAGGCAGGUGGAUCACGAGGUCAGGAGAUCAAGACCAUCCUAGCUAACACAGUGAAACCCCGUCUCUACUAAAAAUACAAAAAAUUAGCCGGGCUUGGUGGUGGGCGCCUGUAAUCCCAGCUACUCAGGAGGCUGAGGCAGGAGCCUCCCGUGAACCCGGGAGGCGGAGCUUGCAGUGAGCCGAGAUCGUGCCACUGCACUCCAGCCUGGGCGACAGAGAGAGACUCCAUCUCAAAAAAAUAAAAAAAAAAAAAAAUAAAUAAAUAAUAAAUAAAAUUUGUAUUAUUAUUUUUUAUAACCAUUUUUCCAUUUACAUACGACUGAAUCUGCAGGUGUGAAAGCAAUGCAUAUGAAACCUCCAGAUAUGAGGCUGACUGUAUUUAAAAUUCUCUUCACCCAUGCCUCUGCCCCCCACCUCUCUCCCUGCCAACGACAGUUUCUGAUCCAUGACUUACUAAUGAAUUAUUUAGAGAAGUAAUUUUACUACAGGGCUAAGUGUGGGAACAUUCAUGCAUCCAUGUAUCCAUUCAUUCAGGAUGGUGUGAGAGUGUGACAGGGAAUGGUAACGCCUGGUUUGGAAAAUCCUCAGGUGACUGCCAAAGAUACAAAAACAUAUGCCCCAAAACCUACACGUAAUGUGAAAAAGCAUCUCAAUACAUGUUAGUUUUAAAAUACCUGAAAACUGGGCCAGGCACGGUGGCUCAUGCCUGUAAUCCCAGCACUUUGGGAGGCCGAGGCAGGAGGAUCACUUGAGCCCCACAGUUGAGGAUCAGAAUGGACAACCAUAGUGAGACCCCUGCCUCUACAUGAAAACAUUUUUUAAAAAAUUAGCCAGCUGUGCUGGCAUGCACCUGUUGUCCUAGCUACCCAAGAGGCUGAAGUGGGCACUUGACCCCAGGAGGACAAGUGGUGUGAGCCAUGAUCACACCACUGCACUCCAGCCUAGGUGACAGAGUGAGACCUUGUCUCUAAAAAGAAACAGACACCUGAAAACUAUUUGUAAGAAGAAAGGAUGAUCUUUCAUAUUACAUUUAAUAUAAUGAUAAAGAGCAACUAAUUCUAAAUAUUAAAAACAAAAAAAUAUAGAUCUUACUCAACAUUUCCAACUAAAUGGUAAAAACCUAAGCUAGUAGGGCCUAUCAAAAGUCUGUUAUAAUUUUCUGAUACUUUUUUUUUUUUCCAAACAAUUAGGAUGUUUGGUACAACGAAAUGGAAUACAAUGAGAUAAAUUAUCACAGAUGAUACUUUGGAAGUCAGCAAGUAUUAAUAUAUAUUUCAAAAUUAUUAAUUCAUUUUUAAAAUGCCCUCUCAUUUCAUAUUUAUACUCCUUGUAUACCAAAUCUUUUAUCUUUAAUCUUUAUUUUAUUUUUAUCUUUAUUGUCUCUUAGCAACAACAAAAAUAAGAACUUCAGUUUUGCCCAAGUUACAUCAGUUCAAAAACCCUACAAAUCAAUUCUAACUAUACAUAUGAAUGUUUUUUUAAGUUUAUUUAUAAUAUGAAUAUAGCUUCCCUGAAGAAAGUGCCAAGGGUCUCUGAGUGAGCCACUAGUACUUGUCGCCUCCUGCAUUCGAAAGCAACCGGACACAUGCGACACUCCUGAUCAGUGCUCCAGAGCUCCGGGAGCAGCGGUACCCUAGGCCCUCCUGCAUCGCAUGCCCAGUUCACGUCUGCAGGACAGGCAGGGCUCCCAUGAUGGCUUUGCAUACCUUGGGAGAUGCCACUCACCUACCAUGCGGAUGGCUCCAUCUGGAGUCUUGCUGUGUACAACCUCAACCACCACAUGCAACAUAGCAUCUGGAUGAUGAAGAUGUUGAGAAUGUUAAGGCUGUUGGGAACUCACUGCAUGCACAAGGCAAAGCAGAAAGGCAGGGGAACAAAGAGCUAAGGGCUUACCCAUAUAAGUAAGGCUGGCAAUAGGCCACAUGGGGUACAAUACAGACUUCUCACAAGGCAGUUCAGAAACAAGAUCAGAAAUGUACAGGGAAAAAGGUUUCCAAGUAAUUGAGGAAGCAUCCUGGCCUCAGGAACACAACAAUGAAAUAGAAGAGACCCAAAUUAUGGACUAAAUCCUGGGAUAUGGGCCCACCUAGAUUCUUCAAUCCCCUCUCAAGUCAGGGCACACACUACACUCUGCCCAAAGUACCGCGAAAGCUAAAGUCUGGGCCCAUCACAGUUAUUUCACAUCACACAAAGUGAAAACCACAUCUCUUAGGAUGCCUUGGCUCUAUGUAUAAACUUCUUGAAAAUGUUUAAGUUGUUUGAAACCCACAAUAGCAGUAAGAUUAUAAAAGCUUAAUACUAUAAAAUAUGCUUUUAAAUUUUAGAAAAGCCCAAGAAACUGAUUUUUAAAAUCUAUUAAGAAGUUUUAUAUCUUACUUAAGGUAUGUCUCAUCUCUCCAAUUAAACUAUAAACUCCUUAAGUGAGAACUGUGUUAAAUGUGUUGCCCAAAGCAUUAACACACAAUAACUUUCACUAUGUAAAUGUUAAAAAAAACUUACUAAAUCAUUAUUUUAAAGCAACUUCUUGUUUAAUAACGCAUAAAGAACAGUGUGAACAGAAAGAGAAUACAGUAAUAGGAAUUUACCUUUGAAACUCCUAGAACUAAAGCCAUCUAACACAACAGGUGGAAUUUUUAAAAAGCUUUAAGUUUGAAGAUUUUCAACCUAGUGAAAAAAUCUAUACAUAACCAAAGUUCAGCAUAGGACUAAUGAAUCUCACAGAACUGAAAAUUAAAUAUUUUGUCUUAUCCUAAGUACAUGUAAAAACUGUACUGAUAAUGUUUCUAAAACUUCUAAUAUUUAAAUUUCAUAAGCAGCUAAUCUACUGGAUUAGUCAAUUUUUGUGAUCUUUAGGAGAGGAUGAAAAAGCAGCCAAGGCCUUGGUAGUAUGCAGCACUGGCCCCCAGCAGUCUACUGUGAGCAGGGGCACUGAAUAAAGGAUCACAAAUGUGCAAUUGUCUGAAAAAUGACAGAACACAAAAACAUCUUGGAGGAAAUACGUUUAAUUUUUAAUUUAUCAAUAGGUACGUAUUCAAAAAAAUAGUUUGAUGUUCUAUUUUCCUCAAAUAAAAAUCACAAUGUUACUAAUAUGUAUAUAAUCAUCCAUUCAAAAGAAAAAUACGUAUUUUCAACUCUAAUUGCCAACACAACAGGAAUUUUCAAAGUAAAACUGAGAGCAUGGUUUUAAGAUUCAACAGUAUGAUUUUCACCUGGAUAAAAACUGACAGUGAAAUUUACUUUUUAUUUCAUGCCAUCGUUACUUUUUUGUUUUUUUAGACAGAGUCUCACUCUGUCACCCAUGCUGGAGUGCAAUGGCACGAUUUCAGCUCACUGCAACCUCCGCUUCCCGGGUUAAAGCGAUUCUCCUGCCUCAGCCUCCCAAGUAGCUGGGAUUACAGGCGCACACCACCACGGCCGGCUAAUUUUUGUAUUUUAGUAGAGGCGGGGUUUCACCAUGUUGGCCAGGAUGGUCUCGAACUCCUGACCUCAAGUGAUCCGCCCGCCUUGGACUCCCAAAGUGCUGGGAUUACAGGCGUGAGCCACCUAGCCCAGCCUCAAGUGACAUUUCAUAAGAAAACUGAGAACCCAAUCUGACAGGAGCCCAGCGCUCCAGGAGGCCCCAGAGUCGAGACCUGAUGCCCACAGGCUGCUUUUCUCCUCUGCCCUCAUGCAUGUUAC
rnacentral:lncRNA from 1 species